AUUGAACGCUAGCGGGAUGCUUUACACAUGCAAGUCGAACGAGUGGCGGACGGGUGAGUAAUAUAUCGGAACGUGCCCAGUAGCGGGGGAUAACUCCUCGAAAGAGUGGCUAAUACCGCAUACUAUUGGCGCGGCGGUUAUCGGAUUAGCUAGUUGGGGGGGUAAAGGCUCACCAAGGCAACGAUCCUGAGCUGGUUUGAGAGGACGACCAGCCACACUGGGACUGAGACACGGCCCAGACUCCUACGGUAGGCAGCAGUGGGGAAUGUUGGACAAUGGGGGAAACCCUGAUCCAGCCAUCCCGCGUGUAUGAGAAGGCCUUCUGGUUGUAAAGUACUUUUGGCAGAGAAGCGGUAUCUGCAGAAUAAGCACCGGCUAACUACGUGCCAGCAGCCGCGGUAAUUC
rnacentral:rRNA from 1 species